rnacentral:rRNA from 2 species
GAGUUUGAUCCUGGCUCAGAUUGAACGCUGGCGGCAUGCCUUACACAUGCAAGUCGAACGGCAGCACGGGAGCAAUCCUGGUGGCGAGUGGCGAACGGGUGAGUAAUGCAUCGGAACGUGUCCUGUAGUGGGGGAUAGCCCGGCGAAAGCCGGAUUAAUACCGCAUACGACCUGAGGGUGAAAGCGGGGGAUCUUCGGACCUCGCGCUAUAGGAGCGGCCGAUGUCAGAUUAGGUAGUUGGUGGGGUAAAUGCCUACCAAGCCGACGAUCUGUAGCUGGUCUGAGAGGACGACCAGUCACACUGGGACUGAGACACGGCCCAGACUCCUACGGGAGGCAGCAGUGGGGAAUUUUGGACAAUGGGCGCAAGCCUGAUCCAGCCAUGCCGCGUGCAGGAAGAAGGCCUUCGGGUUGUAAACUGCUUUUGUCAGGGAAGAAAUCCUCUGGGUUAAUACCUCGGAGGGAUGACGGUACCUGAAGAAUAAGCACCGGCUAACUACGUGCCA